rnacentral:rRNA from 1 species
UAGGGAAUCUUCCACAAUGGACGCAAGUCUGAUGGAGCAACGCCGCGUGAGUGAAGAAGGUUUUCGGAUCGUAAAGCUCUGUUGUUGGUGAAGAAGGAUAGAGGCAGUAACUGGUCUUUAUUUGACGGUAAUCAACCAGAAAGUCACGGCUAACUACGUGCCAGCAGCCGCGGUAAUACGUAGGUGGCAAGCGUUGUCCGGAUUUAUUGGGCGUAAAGCGAGCGCAGGCGGAAUGAUAAGUCUGAUGUGAAAGCCCACGGCUCAACCGUGGAACUGCAUCGGAAACUGUAAUUCUUGAGUGCAGAAGAGGAGAGUGGAAUUCCAUGUGUAGCGGUGGAAUGCGUAGAUAGAUGGAAGAACACCAGUGGCGAAGGCGGAUCUCUGGUCUGCAACUGACGCUGAGGCUCGAAAGCAUGGGUAGCGAACAGG